UGGGGAAUUUUGGACAAUGGGCGAAAGCCUGAUCCAGCAAUGCCGCGUGCAGGACGAAGGCCUUCGGGUUGUAAACUGCUUUUGUACGGAACGAAAAGACACUGGCUAAUACCUGGUGUUGAUGACGGUACCGUAAGAAUAAGCACCGGCUAACUACGUGCCAGCAGCCGCGGUAAUACGUAGGGUGCGAGCGUUAAUCGGAAUUACUGGGCGUAAAGCGUGCGCAGGCGGUUUUGUAAGACAGAGGUGAAAUCCCCGGGCUCAACCUGGGAACUGCCUUUGUGACUGCAAGGCUAGAGUGCGGCAGAGGGGGAUGGAAUUCCGCGUGUAGCAGUGAAAUGCGUAGAUAUGCGGAGGAACACCGAUGGCGAAGGCAAUCCCCUGGGCCUGCACUGACGCUCAUGCACGAAAGCGUGGGGAGCAAACA
rnacentral:rRNA from 1 species